rnacentral:rRNA from 1 species
GAUGAACGCUAGCGGCAGGCCUAACACAUGCAAGUCGAACGGUAACAGGGAUUAGCCUAGCUAAUUUGCUGACGAGUGGCGCACGGGUGCGUAACGCGUAUACAAUCUGCCUUUAAGCGGGGAAUAGCCCAUGGAAACGUGGAUUAAUACCCCAUAGUAUGGAGACUUCACCUGGAGACUUCAUUAAACAUUUAUGGCUUAAAGAUGAGUAUGCGUCCUAUUAGUUAGUUGGUAAGGUAACGGCUUACCAAGACCGCGAUAGGUAGGGGUCCUGAGAGGGAGAUCCCCCACACUGGUACUGAGACACGGACCAG